rnacentral:rRNA from 1 species
GUCUGCUCGUUUUAAAGAACAGUCUGGCCUGCCCACUGAUUUACUUUUAAAGGCCGCGGUAUCCUGACCGUGCGAAGGUAGCAUAAUAAUUAGUCUUUUAAUUGAAGACUAGAAUGAACGGUCGGACAAAAAGCAUACUGUCUCAAUUCUAUUCCAUGAAAUUAACCUUUAAGUGAAAAGGCUUAAAUAACCUUGAAGGACGACAAGACCCUAUAAAACUUUAUAUUUAUUUACUUACCCUUCUAAUUGUUUGUGAAACCAAGAGUAAUUAACCAAGUAUUACGUUGGGGAGACGAAAGUAUUCUCAUAACUGCUUUUCUUUUUAUACAAUGAUUUUUGAAUUUAAUGACCCUGACUUACAGAUCAAAAGAAGAAGUUACUUUAGGGAUAACAGCGUUAUUUUUUUUGAGAGUUCUUAUCGACAAAAAAAUUUGCGACCUCGAUGUUGAAUUAAAAUUUCCCCAUAAUGCAGCAAUUAUGAGGGUGGGUCUGUUCGACCUUUAAAAUUUUACAUGAUUUGAGUUCAAACCGGCGCGAG